rnacentral:antisense_RNA from 1 species
CUUCACCGACCCCAGCCACAACGGCGCACCCGCACCCGCCCGCUCACGCCCGUACGUCGCCAGCAGCGCCUGCGCCUC